CGUCUAGGCGGGCUGAUUAGUCAGGUGUGAAAUCCUCCGGCUUAACCGGAGAACUGCAUUUGAUACUGUCAGUCUUGAGUUCGGAAGAGGAAAGCGGAAUUCCUGGUGUAGCGGUGAAAUGCGUAGAUAUCAGGAAGAACACCGGUGGCGAAGGCGGCUUUCUGGUCCGAUACUGACGCUGAAGCGCGAAAGUGUGGGGAGCAAACAGGAUUAGAUACCCUGGUAGUCC
rnacentral:rRNA from 1 species